rnacentral:rRNA from 1 species
CCUACGGGAGGCUGCAGUAGGGAAUUUUCCACAAUGGGCGAAAGCCUGAUGGAGCAACGCCGCGUGGGUGAAGAAGGUCUUCGGAUCGUAAAACCCUGUUGUUAGAGAAGAAAGUGCGUGAGAGUAACUGUUCACGUUUCGACGGUAUCUAACCAGAAAGCCACGGCUAACUACGUGCCAGCAGCCGCGGUAAUACGUAGGUGGCAAGCGUUAGCCGGAUUUAUUGGGCGUAAAGGGAACGCAGGCGGUCUUUUAAGUCUGAUGUGAAAGCCUUCGGCUUAACCGGAGUAGUGCAUUGGAAACUGGGAGACUGGAGUGCAGAAGAGGAGAGUGGAACUCCAUGUGUAGCGGUGAAAUGCGUAGAUAUAUGGAAGAACACCAGUGGCGAAAGCGGCUCUCUGGUCUGUAACUGACGCUGAGGUUCGAAAGCGUGGGUAGCAAACAGGAUUAGAUACCCCUGUAGUC